AUUGAACGCUGGCGGCAUGCCUUACACAUGCAAGUCGAACGGUAACGGGCCUUCGGGUGCCGACGAGUGGCGAACGGGUGAGUAAUACAUCGGAACGUGCCCGAUCGUGGGGGAUAACGAGGCGAAAGCUUUGCUAAUACCGCAUACGAUCUACGGAUGCAAGCAGGGGACCGCAAGGCCUUGCGCGGACGGAGCGGCCGAUGGCAGAUUAGGUAGUUGGUGGGAUAAAAGCUUACCAAGCCGACGAUCUGUAGCUGGUCUGAGAGGAUGAUCAGCCACACUGGGACCGAGACACGGCCCAGACUCCUACGGGAGGCAGCAGUGGGGAAUUUUGGACAAUGGGCGCAAGCCUGAUCCAGCCAUGCCGCGUGCAGGAUGAAGGCCUUCGGGUUGUAAACUGCUUUUGUACGGAACGAAAAGCCUUCUUUUAAUACAGGAGGGUCAUGACGGUACCGGAAGAAUAAGCACCGGCUAACUACGUG
rnacentral:rRNA from 1 species